rnacentral:tRNA from 1 species
GCAUUCAUGGUACAGUGGUUAAGACGUUUAACUGAUAUUCUUGGGUUCCGUGGUUCGAUUCCAAGCUAGGAUA